GCCAGACUCCUACGGGAGGCAGCAGUCGGGAAUAUUGCGCAAUGGAGGAAACUCUGACGCAGCGACGCCGCGUAUAGGAAGAAGGGUUUCGGAUUGUAAACUACUAUCAUUAGGGAAGAUAAAAGACUGUACCUAAGGAGGAAGCCCCGGCUAACUAUGUGCCAGCAGCCGCGGUAAUACAUAGGGGGCAAGCGUUAUCCGGAAUUAUUGGGUGUAAAGGGUGCGUAGACGGAAGAACAAGUUGGUUGUGAAAUCCCUCGGCUCAACUGAGGAACUGCAACCAAAACUCUUCUCCUUGAGUGUCGGAGAGGAAAGUGGAAUUCCUAGUGUAGCGGUGAAAUGCGUAGAUAUUAGGAGGAACACCAGUGGCGAAGGCGACUUUCUGGACGAUAACUGACGUUGAGGCACGAAAGUGUGGGGAGCAAACAGGAUUAGAUCCCCGUGUAA
rnacentral:rRNA from 1 species